rnacentral:rRNA from 1 species
CAGUCUUACCUGCGGACAAUCAGCUUUUCGAGUGUGAUUAUGUGGAUUGUGAGGAGUUUAAUCACCCUCAUGUUUUGCAUAUUCGUGCUCUUGGGUGUACUUGCCCGUGUGGUAGGUUAACAUCAAUUUCGGACGUCAUAAAAUGAAUUGGAGGAAUGUAGCUUUGAUUCUCGUAUCGAAGUGUACAUA